GAUGAACGCUAGCGGCAGGCUUAAUACAUGCAAGUCGAGGGACAGCACAGGUAGCAAUACUGGGUGGUAACCGGCAAACGGGUGCGGAACACGUACACAACCUUCCUUUAAGUGGGGGAUAGCCCAGAGAAAUUUGGAUUAAUACCCCGUAAUAUAGUUGAAUGGCAUCAUUUGAUUAUUAUAGCUACGGCGCUUAAUGAUGGGUGUGCGGCUGAUUAGAUAGUUGGCGGGGUAACGGCCCACCAAGUCUACGAUCAGUAGCUGAUGUGAGAGAAUGAUCAGCCACACGGGAACUGAGACACGGGCCCGACUCCUACGGGAGGCAGCAGUAAGGAAUAUUGGUCAAUGGACGCAAGGCUGAACCAGCCAUGCCGCGUGAAGGAUUAAGGUCCUCUGGAUUGUAAACUUCUUUUAUUUGGGACGAAAAAGGGCCUUUCUAGGUCAACUGACGGUACCAGAUGAAUAAGCACCGGCUAACUCCGUGCCAGCCGCCGCGGUAACAC
rnacentral:rRNA from 1 species